rnacentral:rRNA from 1 species
CCUACGGGCGGCAGCAGUGGGGAAUAUUGCACAAUGGGCGCAAGCCUGAUGCAGCCAUGCCGCGUGUGUGAAGAAGGCCUUCGGGUUGUAAAGCACUUUCAGCGGGGAGGAAGGCGGUGAGGUUAAUAACCUCAUCGAUUGACGUUGCCCGCAGAAGAAGCACCGGCUAACUCCGUGCCAGCAGCCGCGGUAAUACGGAGGGUGCAAGCGUUAAUCGGAAUUACUGGGCGUAAAGCGCACGCAGGCGGUCUGUCAAGUCGGAUGUGAAAUCCCCGGGCUCAACCUGGGAACUGCAUUCGAAACUGGCAGGCUAGAGUCUUGUAGAGGGGGGUAGAAUUCCAGGUGUAGCGGUGAAAUGCGUAGAGAUCUGGAGGAAUACCGGUAGCGAAGGCGGCCCCCUGGACAAAGACUGACGCUCAGGUGCGAAAGCGUGGGGAGCAAACAGGAUUAGAUACCCUUGUAGUC